UAUGAAGUGUGCCAGCCGCCGCGGUAAUACGUAGGGGGCAAGCGUUAUCCGGAUUUACUGGGUGUAAAGGGAGCGUAGACGGCAAGGCAAGUCUGAUGUGAAAACCCAGGGCUUAACCCUGGGACUGCAUUGGAAACUGUCUGGCUCGAGUGCCGGAGAGGUAAGCGGAAUUCCUAGUGUAGCGGUGAAAUGCGUAGAUAUUAGGAAGAACACCAGUGGCGAAGGCGGCUUACUGGACGGUAACUGACGUUGAGGCUCGAAAGCGUGGGGAGCAAACAGG
rnacentral:rRNA from 1 species